UGGCGGACGGGUGAGUAACGCGUGGGUAACCUGCCUUGUACUGGGGGACAACAGUUGGAAACGACUGCUAAUACCGCAUAAGCGCACAGCUUCGCAUGAAGCGGUGUGAAAAACUCCGGUGGUACAAGAUGGACCCGCGUCUGAUUAGCUGGUUGGUGAGGUAACGGCCCACCAAGGCAACGAUCAGUAGCCGGCCUGAGAGGGUGAACGGCCACAUUGGGACUGAGACACGGCCCAA
rnacentral:rRNA from 1 species